rnacentral:rRNA from 1 species
CAGUAGCCACGGGAACACGGAGGGAGCUAGCGUUGUUCGGAAUUACUGGGCGUAAAGCGCGCGUAGGCGGUUACUCAAGUCAGAGGUGAAAGCCCGGGGCUCAACCCCGGAACUGCCUUUGAAACUAGGUGACUAGAAUCUUGGAGAGGUCAGUGGAAUUCCGAGUGUAGAGGUGAAAUUCGUAGAUAUUCGGAAGAACACCAGUGGCGAAGGCGACUGACUGGACAAGUAUUGACGCUGAGGUGCGAAAGCGUGGGGAGCAAACAGGAUUAGAUACCCCGGUAGUCCCUGUCUCUUAUAC